rnacentral:rRNA from 1 species
CCUACGGGUGGCAGCAGUAGGGAAUCUUCCACAAUGGGCGAAAGCCUGAUGGAGCAACGCCGCGUGGGUGAAGAAGGUCUUCGGAUCGUAAAACCCUGUUGUUAGAGAAGAAAGUGCGUGAGAGUAACUGUUCCCGUUUCGACGGUAUCUACCCAGAAAGCCCCGGCUAACUACGUGUCAGCAGCCGCGGUAAUACGUAGGUGGCAAGCGUUAUCCGGAUGUAUUGGGCGUAAAGGUGAGGCAGGCGGUCUUUUAAGUCUGAUGUGAAAGCCUUCGGCUUAACCGGAGUAGUGCAUUGGAAACUGGGAGACUUGAGUGCAGAAGAGGAGAGUGGAACUCCAUGUGUAGCGGUGAAAUGCGUAGAUAUAUGGAAGAACACCAGUGGCGAAAGCGGCUCUCUGGUCUGUAACUGACGCUGAGGUUCGAAAGCGUGGGUAGCAAACAGGAUUAGAUACCCGAGUAGUC